rnacentral:rRNA from 1 species
GUCCUUUAGAUUUAAAUUAAAGGUCUAACCUGCCCACUGAAAAAGUUUAAAUGGCCGCAGUAAAUUGACUGUGCAAAGGUAGCAUAAUCAAUAGUUUUUUAAUUAAAAGCUUGUAUGAAUGGUUGGACGAGAUAAAAUCUGUCUUUAAUUAAAAAGUAGAAUUUAAUUUUUAAGUUAAAAAGCUUAAAUUUUAUUAAAAGACGAGAAGACCCUAUAGAUCUUUAUAAUAAAUUAUUUAUUUUUAUUAAGGAUUAUUUAGUUAUUUUAUUUUAUUUAUUAUUUUAUUGGGGUAAUAUUAAGAUUGAAUUAAUUCUUUUUUGAAAAAACAUUUAUUUUUGAUUAAUUGAUCCAUUAUUAGUGAUUAUAAGAUUAAGUUACCUUAGGGAUAACAGCGUAAUUUUUUUAGAGAGUUCUUAUCGAUAAAAAAGUUUGCGACCUCGAUGUUGGAUUAAAAGUUAUUCUAGGUGUAGUAGUUUAGAAAUUUGGUCUGUUCGACCAUUAAACUUUU